GCCACAACUGAACUGAACAGUUUCAUUACCUUUUUAAAUGUGAGAAAGUGGCCUGUGUUGAACAGGUUGUUGCUAUCCAGCUUGUUGCAGAGGGGAAUAUGAUACCUGAUUAACUGAUUACUGGCAGGUGAAUGACUCCAGAUGAGGAGCCUUGAACAAAAGCAACAUAGUGUUCCUGUUUCUAGGUAACACAGUUUUAAAGGGCCUUCCCUACAUAUAGGUGAACAAGACGAUCGCCUAGGACACCCUGCUUGUCGUUCUUACAGUGGCGGACUUUCCCUAUUUAUUUUUGAAAGCGAUGUUUCAUCGAUCUAAAAAAUAAAUAAAGCACUUUAAAAAAAGAAGAAAAUGCUUCCACGAACACUGGGUAGUCCAGGGGGUGGUGCUAAACCUGACUAACUUUCUCAACACUGCAAGGUCAUUGGAGUGAAGACCUCCAUAGCUUUCAACUGUAAGCGUAAAGAUGAGCAUGAAGGAAACUUUUUUUUAUCGAUACUACCUGAAAUAAA